ensembl:snRNA U6 U6 spliceosomal RNA
AUGCUCGCUUCGGCAGCACAUAUACUAAAACUGGAAUGAUACAGAGAAGAUUAGCAUGGCCCCUGUGCAAGGAUGACACACAAAUUCGUGAAGCGUUCCAUAUAAAA